rnacentral:rRNA from 1 species
AUUGAACGCUGGCGGCAGGCCUAACACAUGCAAGUCGAGCGGAGCGGCGGACGGGUGAGUAAUGCCUUGCAAUCUGCCUGGUAGUGGGGGAUAACGUCCGGAUACGGGCGCUAAUACCGCAUACUAUCAGAUGAGCCUAGGUCGGAUUGGCUAGUUGGUGGGGUAAAGCCCUACCAAGGCGACGAUCCGUAAGUGGUCUGAGAGGAUGAUCAGUCACAAUGUAACGGAGACACGGUCAAGACUCCUACGGGAGGCAGCAGUGGGGAAUAUUGGACAAUGGACGAAAGCCUGAGCCAGCCAUGCCGCGUGUGUGAAGAAGGUCUUCGGAUUGUAAAGCACUUUAAGUUGUGAGGCGUUACCAACAGAAUAAGCACCGGCUAACUUCGUGCCAGCAGCCGCGGUAAUUC